ensembl:lncRNA
GUGAAUGCGACCAUGUAUUGAUUUAUUUAUUUCAUUUUAAAAAGUUCAGGUGUAAUUUCUCCAUGUCUUCAUGUCUUCACGAGCUGUGAAGGAAUGAAGGAUGGCUGCUAAUUAGAACGUGUAAUGUGCAGCGUGCGUGUGAUGCAUGACACUUUUUGCACACUGGUUUUUUCAAAGAUAAUCAGAUCCGUGCUGAAGUGGAGGGCACGCUUACAAGACGCAGGACGCCUCCUGCGAAUCACAGAGCACGGCAGAAAUAAAGUUAGAUAGGUAGAGAGAGAGAGAGAACGAUACGACAAGGAGGUGGACACACCUGUCUGCUGGAAUAGCGUGACCUCAGCUACUAAUGAAUAGAGAGCUCAAACACAGCCAAUUAGUUGUGGAGCUUGUUAAAACAGCCACUUUUACACUUGCUGUGUCAGGAUAGAUUGGCCUUUCAUGGCUGCUUUGGGGAUAUUGAUAUGGCUGCUGACAAGUGCAAUAAAAAGGGAAAAUGCUUUGGGGCUAACCAGUCCCACUUCUUUUCUGUGGUACUUUUGUUUCAUGCGACAAACGAACUAGGCUCCGCUGGUUAAACCGUAAGUAAUCUAAUGCUUCGGUGCUUCUUUUUUAGUUUUGUUUUUUUUUGCUGUUGUCCUGUUUUGUUUUGCUUGUUGUCUUUGACCAGCUUUUUUGAGAGAGGGUGAGAACAAAGAGGUGAAGGAGGGAGUGGCGAUCAUGCUUGAGAAAGAGAAAUAAACCAGCGAAUGAGAGAUCAGCAGGAUUACAGGGUGUCGCUGUGAGGCACUGCAGAGCUGCAAAUCCACAGGAAUAGAUGGGAAGAUGGGAAGCAGCAGGUUGAGCUGAUGAAGGAUAGGCUGAUAAGGAAACAGGAAGAGAAGAGAAGAGAGGUAGAAUUAUGCAGACUAACAUGCAGAAACAGAGUAAGGUGGAGAGGACUUGGCACAGUAAAGGGCGGAUGGAGGCAGCGCCGUGGUGAGAUGCCUCAUGGGAGAAUGACACAUAUCUUAUCCCCCAGAGAGUGAAGGAGAGGGGCCAGACAACCCUGCUGAUUGACUGGCAGCGUCUCCGCCUGUCUUUCACCAUCUUCUCAUAUUCAUCAACACUGGCUUGGCUCCCUGCAAUGGAGCCAA